GCCGGGGUGGCUCAGUUGGUAGAGCGUCGGACUCAUAAGUGAAAAACUGAGAUAUCCGAAGGCCUCGGGUUCAAUCCCCGACCCCGGCA
rnacentral:tRNA from 1 species